rnacentral:rRNA from 1 species
AGAGUUUGAUCAUGGCUCAGAUUGAACGCUGGCGGCAUGCCUAACACAUGCAAGUCGAACGGAAACGAUGCUAGCUUGCUAGCAGGCGUCGAGUGGCGGACGGGUGAGUAAUGUAUAGGGAUCUGCCUAGUAGUGGGGGACAACAUGUGGAAACGCAUGCUAAUACCGCAUAAUCUCUACGGAGGAAAGUGGGGGACCUUUGGGCCUCACGCUAUUAGAUGAACCUAUAUCAGAUUAGCUAGUUGGUGAGGUAACGGCUCACCAAGGCGACGAUCUGUAGCUGGUUUGAGAGAAUGAUCAGCCACACUGGGACUGAGACACGGCCCAGACUCCUACGGGAGGCAGCAGUGGGGAAUAUUGCACAAUGGAGGCAACUCUGAUGCAGCAAUGCCGCGUGUGUGAAGAAGGCCUUAGGGUUGUAAAGCACUUUCAAUAGGGAGGAAAAGUUAGUCGUUAAUAACGGCUAGCCGUGACGUUACCUAUAGAAGAAGGACCGGCUAACUCCGUGCCAGCAGCCGCGGUAAUACG